AGUGAACGCUGGCGGUAGGCCUAACACAUGCAAGUCGAACGGCAGCACAGUAAGGGCUUGCUCUUACGGGUGGCGAGUGGCGGACGGGUUAGGCAUACAUCGGAAUCUACUUUUUCGUGGGGGAUCACGUAGGGAAACUUACGCUAAUACCGCAUACGACCUACGGGUGAAAGCAGGGGAUCUUCGUACCUUGCGCGAUUGGGUGAGCCGAUGUCGGAUUAGCUAGUUGGCGGGGUAAAGGCCCACCAAGGCGACGAUCCGUAGCUGGUAUGAGAGGAUGAUCAGACACACUGGAACAGAGACACGGUCGAGACUCCGACGGGAGGCAGCAGUGGGGAAUAUUGGACAAUGGGGGAAAGCCUGAUACAGGCAUACCGCGUGGGUGAAGAAGGACCUCGGGUUGGAAAGUCCUUUUGUUGGGAAAGAAAAGCAGCGGGUUAAUACCCCGCUGUUCUGACGGUACCCAAAGAAUAAGCACCGGCUAACUUCGUG
rnacentral:rRNA from 1 species